UACGAAGGGGGCUAGCGUUGUUCGGAGUUACUGGGCGUAAAGCGCACGUAGGCGGCUUUGUAAGUUAGAGGUGAAAGCCUGGAGCUACACUCCAGAACUGACCUUUAAAACUGCAUCGCUUGAAUCCAGGAGAGGUGAGUGGAAUUCCGAGUGUAGAGGUGAAAUUCGUAGAUAUUCGGAAAGAACACCAGUGGCGAAGGCGGCUCACUGAGCUGGUAUUGACGCUGAGGUGCGAAAGCGUGGGGAGC
rnacentral:rRNA from 1 species